rnacentral:rRNA from 1 species
AACGAACGCUGGCGGCGUGGAUAAGACAUGCAAGUCGAACGGGACUAAAUCUGUAGCAAUACAGGUUUAGUUUAGUGGCGAACGGGUGCGUAACACGUGGGCAAUCUGCCGAGAAGUGGGGGAUAGCUCGCCGAAAGGCGAAUUAAUACCGCAUAUGAUCAGUGAAGACAUCUUCACGACAUCAAAGCCGGGGCAACCUGGCGCUUCUUGAUGAGCCCGCGGCCUAUCAGCUAGUUGGUGAGGUAACGGCUCACCAAGGCUAUGACGGGUAGCUGGUCUGAGAGGACGACCAGUCACACUGGAACUGAGACACGGUCCAGACACCUACGGGUGGCAGCAGUCGAGAAUUUUUCUCAAUGGGGAAACCCUGAAGGAGCGACGCCGCGUGGAGGAUGAAGGCUUUCGGGUUGUAACUCCUGUCAUUUGAGAACAAGGUGCAUCGAGUAACUACCGAUGCAUUGAUAGUA